AACGAACGCUGGCGGCAUGCCUAACACAUGCAAGUCGAACGAGACCUUCGGGUCUAGUUGCGCACGGGUGCGUAACGCGUGGGAACCUGCCCUUAGGUUCGGAAUAACUCCCCGAAAGGGGUGCUAAUACCGGAUAAUUUCUUCGGACCAAAGAUUUAUCGCCUUUGGAUGGGCCCGCGUUGGAUUAGCUAGUUGGUAGGGUAAAAGCCUACCAAGGCGACGAUCCAUAGCUGGUCUGAGAGGAUGAUCAGCCACACUGGGACUGAGACACGGCCCAGACUCCUACGGGAGGCAGCAGUGGGGAAUAUUGGAAAAUGGGCGAAAGCCUGAUCCAGCAAUGCCGCGUGAGUGAUGAAGGCCUUAGGGUUGUAAAGCUCUUUUACCCGGGAUGAUAAUGACAGUACCGGGAGAAUAAGCUCCGGCUAACUCCGUG
rnacentral:rRNA from 1 species